AAGCUAUCAAAGUUUUCGUCUUAAAAACAUUGUGUCUAAAACUGCAUCGAUCACCAUCUUGUGAAUUCUAAUUUUGCGAUGCAUAAGCCUUUGAAAAUUUGCCGCUGCUCUUGGUAUAUGGUAAUUUUGCCCAAACAUGCUCGCAACCGGCUCCUGAGGUCUUUUCUUAAUUUCGGAUGAAACAAUGCGCAUAGGAAGAUAUUGCUGGAUGUUCGGGAUGGGAGGUGCAUGGAAGAGGGCAAACCGUGUCGUUGAAACGAACGAGAAUCGAAUUUAUGGUCUAACAAGCGCUGUCAAAAUGUGAGAAUUGAGUGCCUGCGCCGAGGUCCUGGAGCUGCCAGGACGUGUCCUCCAUUCCCUGGGCGCAGAUGCUUGCUAGACAUUUGCAUCUCGCAUAUAAAUCGCAUUAGCAGCACGCAAUUACUAGACCUCGACACAUGGGCACACGAAAUGCGGUUUGGGCCUGUAUUUCCGUGCAGUAAAACCUGAAACACUGAUAGUUUCUUCCCCCGCCUGAAUUUUGUACUUUGCCGAUAAGAAAUUAUCUGAGACAAUGUCAUUAAGGGGUAUGGCUUU
ensembl:ncRNA lncRNA:CR44865 long non-coding RNA:CR44865